UGACAUUCAAACAUGGCCACAUCUUGAUGAUGGAAUGCCACAUUCUACGAGUAAAUGCAGUGGAUGUUGAAUAUAUUGGCAAAUACAAAGAUGAGAGGGCCUACUCAUAUUGGAUGAGUGGAUUUGUUGAUAUAAUUUAUGUUGCCAAAUGCCCCAUUGACAAGACCAUGACAUUUUUUGUAAAGCUCAGUAUGUCCACCACAAAGGAUUUGUGAUGACUCACAUAUAAAAGUGUGGAUGUGUGUCCUUGAACAGCUAGAACAGUUGAGGCAUGUAAUCAUGUACUUGUAGUCCUCUAUAUAUAAGAUCAACUAUGCUUACAACAAGCAAUAUAUUUCCCCUGUCUGUGUGCCUGUACCAGUGUUCCCCAAGGAUGGAACAAAGGAACAUGAAAAGAAGUAAAUCCAAGCAAGGUUAAAAAUUUAAUAUUUAGACCAAACACCUGGCUGCGAUUAAACAUUGAGGAAAGAAUUUGACCCCAGAAAACCUGAG